rnacentral:rRNA from 1 species
UGAUGACGAGACGCUAAGGCGUUGAAGCAGUGUAUGUCAGACUUCCAAGAAAAGCUCGCAAUGUCACAAAUAAAAAUGCCUGUACCAUAACCGACACAGGUGGGUAGGUAGAGUAUACUAAGGGGCGCGAGAUAACUCUCUCUAAGGAACUCGGCAAAAUGACUCCGUAACUUCGGGAGAAGGAGUGCCUUAUUUAUAAGGUUGCAAUAACAAGAUCCAAGCAACUGUUUAUCAAAAACACAGGUCUCCGCUAAGUCGUAAGACGAUGUAUGGGGGCUGACGCCUGCCCAGUGCCAGAAGGUUAAAGAAGUUGGUUAGUGUAUGCGAAGCUGAUGACUGAAGCCCUGGUGAACGGCGGCCGUAACGAUAACGGUCCUAAGGUAGCGAAAUUCCUUGUCGGGUAAGUUCCGACCCGCACGAAAGGCGUAAUGAUUUGGAUACUGUCUCGGAGAGAGGCUCGGUGAAAUAGACUUGUCUGUGAAGAUGCGGACUACCUGCACCAGGACAGAAAGACCCUAUGAAGCUUUACUGUAACUUGAAAUUGGAAUUGGACUUUGCUUGCGCAGUAUAGGUGGGAAGCGUUGAAAAUAUUCUUGCGGGAGUAUUGGAGCUAUCAGUGAGAUACCACUCUUGUAAUGUUAGAUUUCUAACUUUGAACCAUAAUCUGGUCAAAGAACAGUUUCAGGUGGGCAGUUUGACUGGGGCGGUCGCCUCCCAAAUGGUAACGGAGGCGUACAAAGGUUUCCUCUGAACGGAUAGAAAUCGUAUCUAGAGUGUAAAGGCAUAAGGAAGCUUGACUGUGAGACCUACAAGUCGAGCAGGGACGAAAGUCGGUCUUAGUGAUCUGACGGUACUGAGUGGAAAGGCCGUCACUCAACGGAUAAAAGUUACUCUAGGAUAACAGGCUGAUCUCCCCCAAGAGUUCACAUCGACGGGGAGGUUUGGCACCUCGAUGUCGGCUCAUCGCAUCCUGGGGCGGUAGUACGUCCCAAGGGUUGGGCUGUUCGCCCAUGAAAGCGGUACGCGAGCUGGGUUCAGAACGUCGUGAGACAGUUCGGUCCAUAUCCGGUGUAGGCGCUAGAAUAUUGAGAGGAGCCUUCUUUAGUACGAGAGGACCGAGAAGGACACACCGCUGGUGUACCAGUUAUCGUGCCAACGGUAAACGCUGGGUAGCUAUGUGUGGAGUGGAUAACCGCUGAAAGCAUCUAAGUGGGAAGCCCACCUCGAGAUGAG